GGCGCCAUAGCCAAGUGGUAAGGCACAGGUCUGCAAAACCUCUACUCCCCAGUUCAAGUCUGGGUGGCGCCUCCA
rnacentral:tRNA from 3 species